ACAUGCAAGUCGAACGCGCAGCAUUCUGUAGCAAUACAGGGUGUGGGCGCGUGGCGAACGGGUGCGUAACACGUGGAUAACCUUCCUUCAGGUGGGGAAUAACCCAGUGAAAAUUGGGCUAAUACCGCAUAACAUGACGAUGCCACAUGGUGUUGUCUUCAAAGCCGCAAGGCGCCAGAAGAGGGAUCCGCGGCCGAUUAGCUUGUUGGCGAGGUAAUGGCUCACCAAGGCUUUGAUCGGUAGCCGGACUGAGAGGUUGGCCGGCCACACUGGAACUGAGACACGGUCCAGACUCCUACGGGAGGCAGCAGUGGGGAAUCUUGCACAAUGGACGAAAGUCUGGUGCAGCAACGCCGCGUGGGGGAUGAAGCUUCUCGGAGUGUAAACCCCUUUCGACCCGGAAGAAUGCCCGCAAGGGUUUGACGGUACGGGUAUAAGAAGCCCCGGCUAACUACGUGCCAGCAGCCGCGGUAAUACGUAGGGGGCCAGCGUUGCUCGGAAUUACUGGGCGUAAAGGGUCUGUAGGCGGUGCGGCAAGUCGAUAGUGAAAUCCCUAGGCUUAACCUAGGGGCUGCUAGCGAAACUGCCGUGCUAGAGUGUGAGAGAGG
rnacentral:rRNA from 1 species